rnacentral:rRNA from 1 species
AAUUAAUAAAAAUAGUUGGUUAGUAAAAACUAUAGUUCUAAAUUCAAAAAAUUUGGCGGUGUUUUAAUAAAUCAGGGGAACUUGUUAAUUAAUUCGAUAACCCACGAAAGAUUUAUACCUAGAUUUGAAACUCAGUUAGUAUACUGCCGUAACAUAUAAAUUUAUGAUAAUUUAUAUUAAGAUAAUAUAAUAUUUAAAACAACAGGUCAAAGUGUUGCUAACAUCUAGGGUAAUAAUGAGUUACAAUGUUAUAAACACAUAUGGAUUUAUUAUUUAUAUAAAAAUGAAAUUGGACUUGAUAGUAAUUAAAUUAAUUAAUGAAAACUUAUAUAAAACAA